CGGGAGAAUUGCUAGCUUGCUAUAAUUCUCUAGUGGCGCACGGGUGAGUAACACGUGAGUAACCUGCCCCCAAGAGUGGGAUAGCCCCGGGAAACUGGGAUUAAUACCGCAUAAAAUCGCAAGAUUAAAGCAGCAAUGCGCUUGGGGAUGGGCUCGCGUCCUAUUAGUUAGUUGGUGAGGUAACGGCUCACCAAGGCGAUGACGGGUAGCCGGUCUGAGAGGAUGUCCGGCCACACUGGAACUGAGACACGGUCCAGACACCUACGGGUGGCAGCAGUCGAGAAUCAUUCACAAUGGGGGAAACCCUGAUGGUGCGACGCCGCGUGGGGGAAUGAAGGUCUUCGGAUUGUAAACCCCUGUCAUGUGGGAGCAAAUUAAAAAGAUAGUACCACAAGAGGAAGAGACGGCUAACUCUGUGCCAGCAGCCGCGGUAAUACAGAGGUCUCAAGCGUUGUUCGGAAUCACUGGGCGUAAAGCGUGCGUAGGCGGUUUCGUAAGUCGUGUGUGAAAGGCGGGGGCUCAACCCCCGGACUGCACAUGAUACUGCGAGACUAGAGUAAUGGAGGGGGAACCGGAAUUCUCGGUGUAGCAGUGAAAUGCGUAGAUAUCGAGAGGAACACUCGUGGCGAAGGCGGGUUCCUGGACAUUAACUGACGCUGAGGCACGAAGGCCAGGGGAGCGAAAGGGAUUAGAUACCCCUGUAGUCCUGGCAGUAAACGGUGCACGCUUGGUGUGCGGGGA
rnacentral:rRNA from 1 species